AGAAAAGGGGGGAGUGCUGGCGCUGGAAGACGUUGGGGGCAAGCGUGAAUCGGAAGGACGGGGGUUAAAGGGUGAGCAGGCGGUUAUAUAAGAAAGAUGUGAAAUCCCCGGGCUCAAGCGGGGAACUGCAUUUGGGACUGUAUGGCUAGAGUACGGCAGAGGGGGAUGGAACUCCGCGUGUAGCAGUGAAAUGCGUAGAUAUGCGGAGGAACACCGAUGGCGAAGGCAAUCCCCUGGGCCUGUACUGACGCUCAUGCACGAAAGCGUGGGGAGCAAACAGGAUUAGAUACCCCUGUAGUC
rnacentral:rRNA from 1 species